GCAGUGGUGGUUCUAUGGUAGAAUUCCUGCCUUCCAUGCAAGAGAACCAGGUUCAACUUUUGGCCAGUGCA
rnacentral:tRNA from 1 species